rnacentral:rRNA from 1 species
CGUGUAGGCGGCUUUGCAAGUCGGGUGUGAAAGCCCUCAGCUCAACUGAGGAAGUGCGCCCGAAACUGCAGAGCUUGAGUACCGGAGAGGGUGGCGGAAUUCCCCAAGUAGAGGUGAAAUUCGUAGAUAUGGGGAGGAACACCGGUGGCGAAGGCGGCCACCUGGACGGUCACUGACGCUGAGACGCGAAAGCGUGGGGAGCAAACA